rnacentral:lncRNA from 1 species
UCAAAUUGAAAUUGAUAAAUUAAUUAGUGUCUAAGAUAAGUAUGACAUUAUGAUCGAUGAUUUUUAAUUGGCAAUCUGCUUACUUGGCCAUUUCGAUGGUGUCUAAGGCCAGCUUUAGCAGAUCCUCCCAUCGAUCUCACUUAUCUGGCUAAUAUAGUCAAUCAGUUUUUGAUUAGAUUGCUCGUUGAUUCGAGCUAACCUAUGCUGUAUAGGUAAAUCAGUAUGACUGAUUUAGGUACCCCA